rnacentral:sRNA from 1 species
AUAAAUGGAUCACAGACUAAGUUCACUGCAUCCUGCAGUAACGUCUGUGUGAUCUGCAUCGUGCAGA